GAGCCUCGGAGCUUGAGCGUGGAGAAAAAUGUAUUGGAUAUGGUACUGUAAGCUAUGAAUGGAUGAUGGAGAUGAUAUUUACAUGCGCUCUUGGACUGGCACCAUUAUUGGUCCUCACAAUACUGUACAUGAAGGUCGAAUCUAUCAGCUAAAGUUGUUCUGUGACAAAGAUUAUCCCGAGAAGCCACCAAGUGUUCGUUUUCUUCAAAGAUCAACAUGACUUGUGUUAACCAUAAAACUGGAAUGAAAACCUAGCGAGGGGCAUUUGCUUGUAUCCGAUCGCAACAGGUGGAAUCGAAGUUCAGAUUGCUUUCAAUUUGGCCGAGGGAGUAUACCAUGGAGAACAUACUAACACAGCUGAAGAAGGAGAUGGCAA